UACGUAGGAGGCAAGCGUUGUCCGGAAUCACUGGGCGUAAAGCGCACGUAGGCGGAUUGUUAAGUCAGGGGUGAAAUCCUGGAGCUCAACUCCAGAACUGCCUUUGAUACUGGCGAUCUCGAGUCCGGGAGAGGUGAGUGGAACUGCGAGUGUAGAGGUGAAAUUCGUAGAUAUUCGGAGGAACACCAGUGGCGAAGGCGGCUCACUGGCUCGAUACUGACGCUGAGGUGCGAAAGCGUGGGGAGCAAACAGG
rnacentral:rRNA from 1 species